UACGGAGGGGGCUAGCGUUGUUCGGAAUUACUGGGCGUAAAGCGUACGUAGGCGGCUUUGUAAGUUAGAGGUGAAAGCCCGGGGCUCAACUCCGGAAUUGCCUUUAAGACUGCAUCGCUUGAAUCAUGGAGAGGUGAGUGAAAUUCCGAGUGUAGAGGUGAAAUUCGUAGAUAUUCGGAAGAACACCAGUGGCGAAGGCGACUCACUGGACAUGUAUUGACGCUGAGGUACGAAAGCGUGGGGAGCAAACAGG
rnacentral:rRNA from 1 species